rnacentral:rRNA from 1 species
UUCCGGUUGAUCCUGCCGGAGGCUACCGCUAUUGGAGUUCGAUUAAGCCAUGCGAGUCGAGAGUCUUAGGGACUCGGCGUACCGCUCAGUAACACGUGGGUAACCUGCCCUAUGCUGGGGAAUAACCUCGGGAAACUGAGAAUAAUGCCCCAUAGUCCACCAUGCCUGGAACGGUUGGUGGAUCAAAGCUCCGGCGGCAUAGGAUGGGCCUGCGGCGUAUCAGGUUGUAGGGGGUGUAAUGUACCCUCUAGCCAUCAACGCGUACGGGUGUUGGGAGACAUAGCCCGGAGAUGGAUUCUGAGACACGAAUCCAGACCCUACGGGGUGCAGCAGGCGCGAAAACUUGGCAAUGCGAGCAAUCGUGACCAGGGAACUCCAAGUGGCUGGGGUAAGACCCAGUCUUUUCUUGACUCUUCAACGGUCUUGGAAUAAGGGGUGGGUAAGGACGGUGCCAGCCGCCGCGGUAAUACCGGCGCCUCAAGUGGUAGUCGCUUUUAUUGGGCCUAAAACGUCCGUAGCCGGUCUGGUGCAUUCGUGGGUAAAUCAACCCGCUCAACGGGUUGAAUUCUGCGAGCACGGCCAGACUUGGGACCGGGAGAGGUGUGGGGUACUCUCAGGGUAGGGGUAAAAUCCUGUCAUCCUGAGAGGACCACCUGUUGCGAAGGCGCCACACUAGAACGGAUCCGACGGUCAGGGACGAAACCUAGGGGCACGAACCGGAUUAGAUACCCGGGUAGUCCUAGGUGUAAACGCUGUGGACUUGAUGUUGGGGGCGCUCCG